rnacentral:piRNA from 1 species
AAGGCUGGGAAGGCAAGGCUGACACUGUCCA